ACUCCUACGGGAGGCAGCAGUGGGGAAUAUUGCACAAUGGGCGCAAGCCUGAUGCAGCCAUGCCGCGUGUAUGAAGAAGGCCUUCGGGUUGUAAAGUACUUUCAGCAGUGAGGAAGGUGGGUAUGUUAAUAGCAUACUCAUUUGACGUUAGCUGCAGAAGAAGCACCGGCUAACUCCGUGCCAGCAGCCGCGGUAAUACGGAGGGUGCGAGCGUUAAUCGGAAUUACUGGGCGUAAAGCGCAUGCAGGUGGUUUGUUAAGUCAGAUGUGAAAGCCCGGGGCUCAACCUCGGAAUUGCAUUUGAAACUGGACAAACGUAGAGUACUGGUAGAGGGGGUAGAAUUUCAGGUGUAGCGGUGAAAUGCGUAGAGAUCUGAAGGAUACCGGUGGCGAAGGCGGCCCCUGGACAGAUACUGACACUCAGAUGCGAAAGCGUGGG
rnacentral:rRNA from 1 species